CCCAGACUCCUACGGGAGGCAGCAGUGGGGGAUAUUGCACAAUGGGGGAAACCCUGAUGCAGCGACGCCGCGUGAGUGAAGAAGUAUUUCGGUAUGUAAAGCUCUAUCAGCAGGGAAGAAAAAAGACGGUACCUGACUAAGAAGCCCCGGCUAACUACGUGCCAGCAGCCGCGGUAAUACGUAGGGGGCAAGCGUUAUCCGGAUUUACUGGGUGUAAAGGGAGCGUAGACGGCAAUACAAGUCGGAAGUGAAAUACCCGGGCUCAACCUGGGAACUGCUUUGGAAACUGUAUGGCUGGAGUGCUGGAGAGGUAAGCGGAAUUCCUAGUGUAGCGGUGAAAUGCGUAGAUAUUAGGAGGAACACCAGUGGCGAAGGCGGCUUACUGGACAGUAACUGACGUUGAGGCUCGAAAGCGUGGGGAGCAAACAGGAUUAGAUACCCCCGUACA
rnacentral:rRNA from 1 species